rnacentral:lncRNA from 1 species
UACUUUUUAAGAAAUCAAUAAGAGAGGAUAAAAAAAACAAAAUUAUUGAUAUUGUGCGUAAAAUAAUGAUGUAUUAAUUCUCAAGUAUCGCAAACUUACGAGAGAUCGUGCUAUAUUAUUAAAGCAAAUUAUAAUUUAGAGUAUAGAAGAAUACUCUAAGAAUAUUAGUCCAGUCUAGCAAAAACGUAAAUCCUAUCAUUGAUAGAAAUUAAUAUAAAAAUGUAUGAAAAAAAUCGUAAAAUCACUUUGUCGAAACUGGCAGACUUGAUUCAUGAUAAAUCGAUGAUUUAAUUAGUAGUUUACUUCUGCAUUUAUAUAAUUUUUAAUUUUCUCUUAAAUCUAAAAAAAUUCUAAAAAAUUUUUCAGGAUUUCUUAUCCCAACUGAAGACAAAAGAUUGUUCGUAUGUCUUUAUUUCCUUUUUAUCUCUCAUCUAUAUUUAUACGUUGAUAUUAUAAUUCACCUCAAUGCCAUGAUAUUUCGUUUAUUCUAUUAUCCUACAUUGUAAAGUUGAUUUCAAAUUUUAUUAUAUUUGUUAUAUGUCUUUAGAACACAUUGCAAUUAUUUUAUAUAUAAAUAAUUAAAUAUAAAUUUCUUAAAAAAUCAUUAGUUUAAAAGAUACGUUAACACGUCUUACAUGGCAUUGUUAUUAUCAUACAAACCGAGUAUGAGAUACUAUCGUGUCUCCUAUUAUUUAUUAGUUAGGUUUAACUGACGUAUCGAUAUUUACAUUCAAAUAAAAGACUAUGUGUCUUUCUUUGUAAUCUUCUACCGCACACUUUUUGAUGGAAAGGCUCUUGUAUUGUAUUCAGUCAUCUGCGUCCUGUAAGUUGAAACGGACAUAAUGUCAGAAACGAUUGUAACUAAAGAAAACGUGUGGAACUAUUACAAAGAACUGUCGCAUUGGGAAGCAAAAUGCAACUUUUGCAACAAAAAAUUGGCUUAUAUCUCAUACAAUAAGUUGUUGUAUGCGCAUAUAAGAAGAAAUCAUGAAAUAAUACAUAUACUUGAACAAGAAAUACGUGGACGACAACAAUGGCCAUGGAUAUAUUUCAAGAAUGUGUACAAUUAUACUUCCGGUGAAAGCAUAUUAGACGUAAAAUGUCUUUUCUGUGGUGUAAAUUGUGAUUAUACUAUUGAAUCAUUAGCAAAUCAUUUACGUAAUCAUUCUAAUAAGAAAGAACUGGAAGAUUACAUGUUUGACAAUUGGAUAUGGAAAUAUUGUACAAAACUUGCUAAUUUUAAAAUAACGUGUAGUAUUUGUACUUCUGUUAAUUACGAUACUAAAUUAAAUAAGAAUAUGAAUAAACAUAUAUAUAUAUAAGAAUGGAACAUUCAAACAAGUUGGAAAAUAUGCAAGGAGCACUCAACACAGUGUUGUACACACGCACUUUAUUACAAUUUACACAACAUCAAAAAAUAAAAGAAAACUUUUCGAAAUAUUAUAACAUAUCGCUGUAUUCUCAUGUAAAAUGCAAAUUUUGCAACUUUGAGUGUUGUUACAUAAAUACUAGUAGUUUUACUGAACAUCUAGACAAAGAACAUAAAGAAAUCUUUAACCGGGAAACAACAUUCAAUGGUAUAAAAUGGCCAUGGAUGUAUUUCAAGUAUUCGUUUCAAUAUAUUUUCAACAAUUGCAAAAUUUAUUCAGUAUGUUUAAUCUGUGGUGUAAUUCCGUUCACUGAUGAUUCUUUAAGAAAACACUUAGAUGAGCAUUCUCAGAAAGAACGAGAUGAUUACACAGGGAGUAUCUCACAGUUGGCUAUGGAAAUAUUGUUGCCGAAGUGAUAUAUAUGAUGUAAAAUGUAACAUUUGUUGCAAAUAUGUACCUAUAAUUAUUAUGCCCGAUGUAAUAAAUCAUAUAAUAGAAUAUCAUGGAUGGGACAUUAUGCAAUCGAAUAUCGCAAUAGAACUAUCGAAAAAUUACAUAAAAUUGGUAAAUUUUCAUGCAAAAUGCCAAUUUUGCGAUUUUCAAGAUUAUUACGUCGAUAUUACAAAAUUUACUGAACAUGUAAAAACAACACAUCAAGAAAUAAUUACAUACGAAAAAUUAUAUGUAGGAAGACCGUGGACGUAUUUCAGAUACUUCAAGACAAAUCGCUUACAAUGUUGUCUCUGCAACACAGAAUAUUCGAAUAAUCGUGUCACUUUAAAACACCACUUAUUCAGUCACUUUUCUGACAAAGCGGAACACUUUGUCGAUUGCGGCUGGGUAUGGAAAUAUUGUAGAAAAAUAGGAGAUUUUAAUGUGCAAUGUAGCAUUUGUCAUUGGGAAACAUCUCUUGACGUUCCAUUAUGGUAUUGCAAUCAUCAUAUUGAAGAUAAACAUCCGAACACGCUGAUAACACAGGAUGUGCAACAUACACAGAGAACGUAUGACAUAGCUGGACCAUCAGGAAGCCAAUCAAACUGAAGAAAACAGUGCUACAAAACGGAUUUGUCACGAUCUUUGUGGCUGCUUUCCCAUUGGCGCCAUUCUUUGCGUUACUGAACAACAUUUUCGAGAUGUGAUUGGAUGCAAUGAAGUUGGUGAUCAUGUACAGGAGACCAUUUGGAUAGCGAGUCUGAAACAUAAGCAAAUGGUACCGCAUACUCGAUUCUAUUUUUAAAUUAUCCGUUAUUACCAAUGCAUUUAUCAUAGCUGUUACUUCAAACUUUAAACCGAAACUAGUUUAUCAAUUUCUGAUAAUUACUCACUUGAAGGUUUUUUGGAUCAUUUUCUAUCAAAAUUCAACACUAGUGAUCUGGAAAAUGGUCCUCAGCCAGUAAUAAAUCAAUCAAUCUCGGUCGAGAUUUGUCGUUAUCCGGAUUACAGAGAACCACCCGAAUCACCUUACAAGUAUGAUUACACCAUCAUAUUCUGGCAUGUACUAGCAGCUAGAUUAGCUUUUAUCGUCGUAUUUGAGAAUUUUGUGACACUUGUAAUGAUCCUCGUACGAUGGUGCAUUCCUGACAUAAGUCCUAAACUACACGACAGGAUACGUCGCGAAGCACAUCACCAAUGAAAUCACCAAUGAAAUCAUUAUACAUCAAGAAGCACUGCGAGCGGCUUGCGAAAGAUUUGAGACUAAUGGUGGUGUCGAAUCGUAAGUUGCGCAAACAUACGUAGUUGCCAACGAGAGUGCGGACAGAUGAAACAGAGUAAUGAGAAAUUCUUUCUCUACUUCUGACUUCGAUUUUAAAGUCUAUGGGAAUCCUCUGUCGCCCGCUAAUACAGCUCCGCGUAUUAGCCCUGCUGCGUUAUAAUAAAUACUAAGAAAAUUCGUCAAUUUGGCGUGAUUCGCGAGUAGCAUAGUUUUUUGGAACAUUAUUAGGUUGGUGCAUAAGAUUUAUCGUUUUUGUCAAAUGCUGAGAAUUAAAAACAAAUUAUGUAUUGCUCAAUUUUUAUAAUUAAUUUUUAUUAAUUCAAAUAGUCACUAAAACUUUAAUGUUCUUUCUACCGCGAUAAAAAAAGUAAGAUUUUUAUUUAUUAAAAAAGUAUAUUAAAAAAGGAAGUAGUAAGAAUACGAUAAUCUCCUUGCAUCAAUUUAAUAACAAUGUGAUUUUUCGCUAGUCGUGAUAUAAAUUCGCUUGAGAUCUGACGAAAAAAGAUAUUAUUUUUGAAAGAAUAUAUAUUGAAUGGAGAGAUAAAGCUGAAAGUAAUUUAAUUAUCUCUAUUCGUCUAACAUGUAGAUGCCAUAUAAAAUGUUAUACGCUAUAUUUUUAUGGUGGAUGAUAAUCUCUAUAAAUUUUAUAAACUAUGUUAGAAAAUUGCAAAUUGAAUAGAGAUGUUAGAGAAUUAACUGUGUUGCAAUUAUCAGAAUUGAUUUUUCUAAAGGUUAUUGUAAUAUGAUAUAUCUGUUAUUGUUAAAUUUACAUUGACUUUUUAAUAUUAGUUAUUUUACUGUUAUCAGCAACAUUUCUGAAUUAUACAAUUUUGCCGAUUUGAAAGAAUGUCUCUCCUAUUUCAUGAUUUAUCAUCAAUGGCAAUAAAAUCGACAAUAUCGUUCAGCUAUCAACUGGAUGUAGCUAAUGCUACACAUACAGCGCUAUCACAACUGACACAAAUGCCAUAUUCGCCACUAUUAGGUAUUACAAGUGCUCAUAAAGAUGUUAGAACAUAAACAAAUGUUUUAUUUUUGUAGUUGAUAGUCUAUUGGUUCAAAAUUAUUUUCAAUAACCAUUUGAGAUAAAUCAUGAGACAGAUGUUAGGAGAUAUGCAAUGGAAAUUUAGCGACUGCAUUAUGCGGAAAGUUAUAUACUGUACGUAAGUAAGUAUACGUUAACGUGAUUAUAUGUUUAUGAAUAAUACGUGUCCGUAUAUAUAUGAUCAUGUUAAUACAAGCUUUUCUCACAGA